rnacentral:rRNA from 1 species
GCCGGAGCGCGACGCUCUCCCCAAGGACGAAGCCAUGCAUGCCCGCUCACCCGGGACGCGGCGGACGGCUCAGGACAACGGUUGCACCCCCCGCGGCGGUCCCUGCUAGCCGGACACCGCUGGCAACCCGGCGCCAAGACGUGCGCGCAAGGGCGGGCGCCCGCGGGCGAGCAGCGUGACGCAGCGACGGCCCGCCCGGGCUUCCGGGGCAUCACCCGGUCGGCGCGGUCGCGGCGCGCCGAGGGCCCGACGCCUGGCGGAGA